CCAGCUGGCCGGGCGGCCGCACCUGCGAAGUCGAAAGGCUGCAGGUGAGGAAAGUCCGGGCUCCAUGGAUACACGGUGCCGGCUAACGGCCGGCGGGGGCGACCCCAGGGAAAGUGCCACAGAAAGCAAACCGCCGCGGCUUCCGCGGUAAGGGUGAAAGGGUGGGGUAAGAGCCCACCGCGCGACUGGCAACAGGAGCGGCACGGUAAACCCCACCGGGAGCAAAACCGAAUAGGGGCGACGUGAGGGGCAACCCUCGGGGCUGUUUCCGGCCUGUCGCCCGGGUUGGUUGCGUGAGGCGUCCAGCAAUGGGCGCACAAGAAGAAUGGCCGCCACGUUCCCGUACCGCAAGGCACGGGGGCCAUACAGAACCCGGCUUACAGGCCAGCUGGCGCU
rnacentral:RNase_P_RNA from 1 species